AUUGUAACACACAUUCUACGCCUAGCCUGGCUUUCUUGCUCUCCCUCAUCUCAUUGUUUCAGCGGAGGCCAAAUCUGAAGUCCUUUCCAGGGAGUGGCUCUGUUCAUCUUAUUCGCCAGCCAAAGUAGGAACAGCGUAAGAGGAGAGAGACACAUUCAGCAGCCAAAGGACUCGGUGGAAAGAGCAGAACACCAUAGACAAUAUGUCGCUCUUGGGACCCAAGGUGCUGCUGUUUCUUGCUGCAUUCAUCAUCACCUCUGACUGGAUACCCCUGGGGGUCAAUAGUCAACGAGGAGACGAUGUGACUCAAGCGACUCCAGAAACAUUCACAGAAGAUCCUAAUCUGGUGAAUGAUCCCGCUACAGAUGAAACAGUUUUGGCUGUUUUGGCUGAUAUUGCACCUUCCACAGAUGACUUGGCCUCCCUCAGUGAAAAAAAUACCACUGCAGAGUGCUGGGAUGAGAAAUUUACCUGCACAAGGCUCUACUCUGUGCAUCGGCCGGUUAAACAAUGCAUUCAUCAGUUAUGCUUCACCAGUUUACGACGUAUGUACAUCGUCAACAAGGAGAUCUGCUCUCGUCUUGUCUGUAAGGAACACGAAGCUAUGAAAGAUCCAUGAUUAGAAGAAUUGGCAGCUGGAUAUAUAAAGGAAACUAACAUUUACUGCUCACCUGUGCUAGAUGAGCUUUGCCGUCAGAUGGCUGGUCUGCCCCCUAGGAGACUCCGUCGCUCCAAUUACUUCCGACUUCCUCCCUGUGAAAAUGUGGAUUUGCAGAGACCCAAUGGUCUGUGAUCAUUGAAAAAGAGGAAAGAAGAAAAAAUGUAUGGGUGAGAGGAAGGAGGAUCUCCUUCUUCUCCAACCAUUGACAGCUAACCCUUAGACAGUAUUUCUUAAACCAAUCCUUUUGCAAUGUCCAGCUUUUACCCCUACUCUCUACUUUUUCACCCAAACUGAUAACAUUUAUCUCAUUUUCUAGCACUUAAAAUACAAAGUCUAUAUUAUUGCAUAAUUUUGCUGCUUCUCAAUAUCAUAGACACAGUGAAUAGAUGAUGACUAUAUGGCUUAUAUACAAACAUUCUAUGUACAAUUUCAAGGGAGACUAAACUUUAGGCUAAUAAUCUUUACUAUUGAAUCUGUCUGAUAUAGAUCUUAGGGUUGAAGAAGCUAUCUUUGUCUAUUUGGGCUAACCAUAGAAUUUCAUUUAUUUUCCUCACAAUAUUUUCCUAGACCAACUCCCCAUCAUUCACGUGUUCCUCUUUACUCUUACUUUAACUAUUUUGCUGGCUUGCCCGAAAAUUUGCCUGGCAAGUCUUCCUUAUAAGACACAUCAUGGUAAGUUUUGUAGUCCUGUAAGAUUCUGCAACACAGUCAAGAAUUAUACAAUCCUACUAGCAAUAUAUAAGGACCCAAAAUGUCUUCUGCUAAGCUCAGAGGCUGGGGCUAAAGCAUGAGGACUAUGCCAGCUAUAGAACUUGGACUCAUAAUUCGCUAUCCAAUUUUUCAUGCAGUUGUCUAGUCGGGAAGUAAGGUUGGAAACUAAGUCUCAUUUACUGAUUCGUUUAUGGGUAGUACCGGGAUGAACCCACCACCACAAAGCAAAUUAGACAACUUAAUGUGAAAUCAUACCAUUGGUUGACGUUUCCUUGAGUUGCUACUUCGUUCAUCUUCACAACUUAACAAGUGCACGGUCGAAUUAUUGUGCAAGUGGCUUUUGGAUAUCCUGAUUGGGGCCUAAGAAGGGCAUUCAGACUUGAAUUUUAAUAGGCAGACAGAAAGUUUGCCUAAUAGUUAAUACGAAAGAGUGAAAGAAACACAAUAUUCAGACAACCCACAUUCUUAUCCUGGCUCUAGCAGUAACCACGUAGCCUUGGAUAAGCCAUUUUCCUUCAUUAGGUCCUGGUUUAAUUUCCUCAUCUUUAAAAUGAGAAGGUUAAAUUUAUCUUAGUACUGCUGGGCGCAGUGGCUCAUGCCUGUAAUCUGAGCACUUUGGGAAGCUGAGGCGGGUGGAUCACUUGAGGUCAGAAAUUUGAGACGAGCCUGGCCAACAUGGUGAAACCCCAUCUCUACUAAAAAUACAAAAAUUAGCUGGGCGUGGUGGCACGUGCCUGUAAUCCCAGCUACUCGGGAGGCUGAGGCAGGAGAAUCAAUUGAACCUGGGAGGCAGAGGUUGCAGUGAGCCGAGAUGGCGCCAUUGCACUCCAGCCUGGGUGACAAAAGCAAAAGUCCAUCUUAAGAAAUAUAUAUAUAUAUUAUAUAUAUUCUUAGUUCUAAGAUUUCCUUUAAUUCUAUGAUUCUCUGGAUUUAAAUGCAUUAUUCAUAUUUCUUGAAGCUUAGAUACAGUCUAAUUCAUAGCAACCAUAUCUGCUUUAUCCUAGGUGAGGGUAGCAGUCCACAAUGGAAUAGAAGAAAAUCCCAUUAUAACAAAUGACAAAUUAUAUAUCAUGAAUCCUUCUGUCUGACUAACUCAAUAACUUUCUAUAAAAGCCAAUGGAAUUCAAAUAGGAGCUAGGAGACAACAAGUUAUAUAUGACAGUGGAGGUUGUAUUCCUUUUAUAUUGCUGAGAAAACUAGUUAAAUGAUCAGAUUCUUGCUGUUAAGAAACAAUUUCGUUUAAUGGGAUCUGUACAACUGAUUUUAAAAAAAUGCUACAAAAAGCCCCAAAGCAUAUAAUCUCUACUCCUUACAGUCUCUAGAAUUAAAUGUACUCAUUUAGACAACAUAUUAAAUGCAUAUUUUAGCCACUUUAGAGAAACCUCAUAGGCACAGAGUUUCCAAGAUUAAUUUUAAGAAUAUCUUCACGAACUUGACCCUCCUACUCCACAUUGCAACAUUUCCAUCAGACAGCAUUUCAAUUCCAGUAUUAUGUAUAUUGCAAAUUAAACAUUUUAAAAUAUUUUUUUCCAAUUUAUUUCUCAAAAUAAAAUGUCUUUUGUUCUGGUU